UACGGAGGAUGCGAGCGUUAUCCGGAUUUAUUGGGUUUAAAGGGUGCGCAGGCGGCACGGCAAGCCGGCGGUCAAAUCGCGGGGCUCAACCCCGCCCAGCCGUCGGAACUGCCGGGCUAGAGUGGGCGAGAAGUGCGCAGAAUGCGUGGUGUAGCGGUGAAAUGCAUAGAUAUCACGCAGAACUCCGAUUGCGAAGGCAGCGCACCGGCGCCCUACUGACGCUCAGGCACGAAAGCGUGGGUAUCGAACAGG
rnacentral:rRNA from 1 species